AGAGUUUGAUCCUGGCUCAGGAUGAACGCUAGCGGCAGGCUUAACACAUGCAAGUCGAGGGGUAGAGGUUGCUUGCAACCUUGAGACCGGCGCACGGGUGCGUAACGCGUAUGCAACCUACCUUUUACAGAGGGAUAGCCCAGAGAAAUUUGGAUUAAUACCUCAUAGUAUAUAUCUUUCGCAUGUUAGGUAUAUUAAAGUUCCAACGGUAAAAGAUGGGCAUGCGUCCUAUUAGCUAGAUGGUAAGGUAACGGCUUACCAUGGCUACGAUAGGUAGGGGUCCUGAGAGGGAGAUCCCCCACACUGGUACUGAGACACGGACCAGACUCCUACGGGAGGCAGCAGUGAGGAAUAUUGGACAAUGGGCGCAAGCCUGAUCCAGCCAUGCCGCGUGCAGGAAGAAGCAUCUAUGGUGUGUAAACUGCUUUUGCACAGGAAGAAACAUCCCGACGUGUCGGGACUUGACGGUACUGUAAGAAUAAGGAUCGGCUAACUCCGUGCCAGCAGCCGCGGUAAUACGGAGGAUCCAAGCGUUAUCCGGAAUCAUUGGGUUUAAAGGGUCCGUAGGCGGUUUGGUAAGUCAGUGGUGAAAGCCCGCAGCUCAACUGUGGAACGGCCAUUGAUACUGCCAGACUUGAAUUACAAGGAAGUAACUAGAAUAUGUAGUGUAGCGGUGAAAUGCUUAGAUAUUACAUGGAAUACCAAUUGCGAAGGCAGGUUACUACUUGUGGAUUGACGCUGAUGGACGAAAGCGUGGGGAGCGAACAGGAUUAGAUACCCUGGUAGUCCAA
rnacentral:rRNA from 1 species